CAGUCGACGAUGAUCAGGAGCUUGCUCUUGUGAUUAGUGGCGAACGGGUGAGUAACACGUGAGUAACCUGCCCCUGACUCUGGGAUAAGCGUUGGAAACGACGUCUAAUACUGGAUACGACUGCCGGCCGCAUGGUCUGGUGGUGGAAAGAUUUUUUGGUUGGGGAUGGACUCGCGGCCUAUCAGCUUGUUGGUGAGGUAAUGGCUCACCAAGGCGACGACGGGUAGCCGGCCUGAGAGGGUGACCGGCCACACUGGGACUGAGACACGGCCCAGACUCCUACGGGAGGCAGCAGUGGGGAAUAUUGCACAAUGGGCGAAAGCCUGAUGCAGCAACGCCGCGUGAGGGAUGACGGCCUUCGGGUUGUAAACCUCUUUUAGUAGGGAAGAAGCGAAAGUGACGGUACCUGCAGAAAAAGCACCGGCUAACUACGUGCCAGCAGCCGCGGUAAUACGUAGGGUGCAAGCGUUGUCCGGAAUUAUUGGGCGUAAAGAGCUCGUAGGCGGUU
rnacentral:rRNA from 1 species